rnacentral:sRNA from 1 species
AAAGUCAGAGCGGAACGCGGAUCGAAGGCGGGUUUGCCCCUUUCCCCGUCCCGCUCUGGAGGUAGCCGGAGCGUUCACUGUUUCCAGCAGACGCUCCGGCUCCUUGGGA